CAUGCCUUACACAUGCAAGUCGAACGGCAGCGGGGGAGAAGCUUGCUUUUCCUGCCGGCGAGUGGCGAACGGGUGAGUAAUGCAUCGGAACGUGCCCGAUCGUGGGGGAUAACACUUCGAAAGAAGUGCUAAUACCGCAUACGAUCUGAGGAUGAAAGCGGGGGACCGUAAGGCCUCGCGCGAACGGAGCGGCCGAGGUCAGAUUAGGUAGUUGGUGGGGUAAAGGCCUACCAAGCCGACGAUCUGUAGCUGGUCUGAGAGGACGACCAGCCACACUGGGACUGAGACACGGCCCAGACUCCUACGGGAGGCAGCAGUGGGGAAUUUUGGACAAUGGGCGCAAGCCUGAUCCAGCAAUGCCGCGUGCAGGAAGAAGGCCUUCGGAUUGUAAACUGCUUUUGUACGGAGCGAAAAGGCUCUCUCUAAUACAGGGGGCUGAUGACGGUACCGUAAGAAUAAGCACCGGCUAACUACGUGCCAGCCGCCGCUGUAA
rnacentral:rRNA from 1 species